CAGUAGCCGCGGGAAAACGAAGGGGGCUAGCGUUGCUCGGAAUUACUGGGCGUAAAGGGAGCGUAGGCGGAUCGUUUAGUCAGGGGUGAAAUCCCGGGGCUCAACCUCGGAACUGCCUUUGAUACUGGCGAUCUUGAGUAUGGGAGAGGUGUGUGGAACUCCGAGUGUAGAGGUGAAAUUCGUAGAUAUUCGGAAGAACACCAACGGCGAAAGCACUCUGCUGGGCCGACACUGACACUGAGAGACGAAAGCUAGGGGAGCAAAUGGGAUUAGAUACCCCCGUAGUCCCUGUCUCUUAUAC
rnacentral:rRNA from 1 species